rnacentral:rRNA from 1 species
UACGAAGGGGGCUAGCGUUGCUCGGAAUCACUGGGCGUAAAGGGUGCGUAGGCGGGUCUUUAAGUCAGGGGGGAAAUCCUGGAGCUCAACUCCAGAACUGCCUUUGAUACUGGGGAUCUUGAGUCCGGGAGAGGUGAGUGGAACUGCGAGUGUAGAGGUGAAAUUCGUAGAUAUUCGCAAGAACACCAGUGGCGAAGGCGGCUCACUGGCCCGGUACUGACGCUGAGAUGCGAAAGCGUGGGGAGCAAACAGG